AGUAAAUAACUCUCUAGGGUUAAAUGUUCGAUCUGUUCCCACUUCCCCCAGCCGCAUUUCUUCCUCACUCCUCUUCUCUUUCUCUCUCCUCAUGCCACUCUCUCUUUCCGCAUCUCUUUUCUUCCUCACUCAUCUGCUCUUUCUCUCUCCUCAAAUCACUCACUCUCUCUACUCAAACCAAAAAUUGUCAAUAGCUAAAACUCAAGAGUGAUUUGAUCAAGAACAUUAGGGAGAUCGAGGCCGACGAGACAUUGUCUGCGCCUGAAAAGGCGAAGAAGCGUCGUCAACUUCUGGUUGGGGUUAGAUCCGGAGCAAGCAUCGAUUGCCCACAACCACCGUCGCCACCGUCGUCAAUUUGAACCAAAUACAACAACAACAACAAACUUGAAUCAAUUAUUGAUUCAAAAAUCAGAAAUUUGAUGAUAGGGUUUCUGGGUUCUUUAGCUUUGCGUUUUGGUCCAAUUAUUCAGGGUUAGGGUUUUCUAAAUGGACCCAGUUGCUUCGGUUGUCGAUAAUCUAAAAUCAUUUGCAAAAUGCGGCCAAGAUCUUAUCACCGGCAUCACUCGCCGCCGGCAGUAUUAGUCCCGUUAAAAUCCGGGUCCAAUUCUGGCUGUAAAACAUUUGCGCUCAUUUGUUCCAGCAGUAUAUGAUGUUACCUUCACUGUAGCAAGAGAUAAUUCCCCACCUUCAUUGCUAACUUUAUUAAAGGGCAAAUCUUCUGUGGUAAAAGUUCAAGUUAAGCGGCAUUUGAUGCAUGAAUUGCCUGAAACAAGCGAUGAUAUUGCACAGUGGUGCACAAACUUGUUUGUGGCCAAGGUACAAAGACGUAUUGCACAAAAUUGUGAGGCUGCUCGCAAAAGUCGUAUGCGGAAAAAGGUCUAUAUUCAGCAAUUAGAGUUGAGCCAUUCAAAAUCGAUGCAAAUGGAGCAAGAGCUUGAACGAGUGAGAUAACAGGGUACGCUUGUAAGCAAUGAUAUUGACCCGCUUCCUUUCUCUGCCACUAUAAUUCAGGGAUUGUUGCUUUUGAGAUGGAGUAUGGACAUUGGGUUGAGGAGCAGAAUAAACAGAAUUGCGACAUUGAAUACCCAUAUAACCGAUGUUGAACUUCGGAUUCUGGUAGAUAGUGGCAUGAAGCACUAUUAUGAUCUUUUUCAAUUGAAGGCAGGUGCAGCAAAGGCCGACAUAAUGCUGGAGUAAUUGUCAACCCCAAGGGUGAAAUGAAAGUUAUGUGAUUGCACCAACUUUGAAUAUUAUGGGGGAUCUUUGUGACUAUAUUUGAGCCUUUGUUAUUUCGGGAGUAGUUUGACAUGGUAGCUUAGAAUUUCAUGGCAUUUUGGUAGACUGUUCAAUUUCCAUGAAACCUGAAUUUACUUGAAUUUAUAUGGAAUGUGUAACAUGCAUAUCAGCUUAUGUAAUGGUUCAAAACAAAAAAAAAAAUCUUAAGUAAGGGGACUGGGUAGGUAGGUGAAGUAAACUUCCCUUGUCAUCAAAAUUUUGUUACAAAGAUUUCCCUUGCCAUUUAUCAAUGGAACCUUUUGCACCCUACAUCCCAUUUCCUGCUUUGUUGAUUUAUGAUCCAAAACACAACACAAUCUUGUGAAUUAAUGUUGUACAAGUUGCUUCUUAUAGCUUUCGACUUGUAUACAAUCAACCCUUUUCUGUUUUUGUUAACUGAAAAAAAGUCUAUUGACUAGUGUUGCCGCAGAACAUUUCUCACAUGUUUUGAGACUAGCAUCUGAUGAGUUGAUGUGUUUAGGUGUGAACUCUCUGUUAUUUUGACAUGGCUGCAUUUCAGUGUAUAUGUUUAUAACAUUUGUCUGAGAUGUAAAGCAUUAGAAACUUCUUCACCUCUGUGGGUGUGUUCUGAACAAACAAAACAUAAAAAGCUUAUUAUGCCAACAAUUUUACUGUAUAUGAAGUUUACUUAUCUGCUUAUUGCUUAUUACAAUAUAAUUGUUUAUAUAUCCCCGUCUUAAUCCAUAUCUCUCUAUGUUUCAGGAUCUGCUAUUACUGGUCCCAUUGCAAAGGAGUAUGCCGAUUUGUGGCCAAGGAUUGCUAGUGUUGCCAAUGCCAUUGUCUAAGAGAUGUCGUUCUGAGUUUCCAAUUUUGUUUUGCUAUAAUUCUGAAUGUUUAUAGUUGGAUAAAUGAACAAUGCCGGUUUGGUAGGAUGUGUUAAGUCAAUUUGUAAGUUUGCAAGAUAUUAGUUGAUUGUAUAUUAAUUUAUACUAUAUUUGUAUAAAAUAUAAAUAUCUCUCAUUAUUAAUUGAUAAAAUAGUGUGCAAAGCAAUCCAUCA